rnacentral:rRNA from 1 species
UACGGAGGGUGCAAGCGUUAUCCGGAUUUAUUGGGUUUAAAGGGUGCGUAGGCGGGAAGCUAAGUCAGUGGUGAAAUCUCUCGGCUCAACCGAGAAACUGCCAUUGAUACUGGUUUUCUUGAAUUUGAUUGAAGUGGGCGGAAUAUGACAUGUAGCGGUGAAAUGCUUAGAUAUGUCCUAGAACACCGAUAGCGAAGGCAGCUCACUAAGUCAACAUUGACGCUGAGGCACGAAAGCGUGGGGAGCGAACAGG